rnacentral:rRNA from 1 species
AAUCAACGCUGGCGGCGUGCCUCAGACAUGCAAGUCGAACGCGAAAUUUCCCUUCGGGAGAAAGUAGAGUGGCGCACGGGUGAGUAACACGUAGGUAAUUUGCCUUUGGGUGGGGAAUAACUCAGGGAAACUUGAGCUAAUACCGCAUAAUGCAGCGGCUCGACAUCGAGACAGUUGUUAAAGCGGGGAGUUGGAGCAAUCCGACCUCGCGCCUAAAGAGAAGCCUGCGGCAGAUUAGCUAGUUGGUAAGGUAAUGGCUUACCAAGGCGACGAUCUGUAACCGGCCUGAGAGGGCGGUCGGGUCACACUGACACUGACAUACGGGUCAGACUCCUACGGGAGGCAGCAGUCGGGAAUUUUGGGCAAUGGGCGCAAGCCUGACCCAGCAACGCCGCGUGAAGGAUGAAAUUUUU